UGGUUCUGUGGUGACGAUGAUCAGACGACGACCACCGAGGGGAUACUCGCCGCUACUCUACUCGCUGAUCUGGCUGAUUUGGAUCGUCCUGCCUGCUGGAACCGGAGUACUGCACAGUCAUGCCGACAAACAGAGAUACGACGGAUGGUACAACAACCUCGCUCAUCCGGAUUGGGGAUCAAUCGACAGCAGGCUGAUACGAAAGAUGCCAGCAGCCUAUUCCGAUGGGGUGUACAUGCUGGCGGGACAAGACAGACCUUCACCAAGGAAAUUAAGUCAAUUGUUCAUGCAAGGUGAUGACGGUAUUCCUUCGGUGAAGAACAGAACAGCGUUGUUCGCUUUUUUCGGGCAACUGGUCACGUCAGAAAUAAUCAUGGCCAGCGAAAGCGGCUGCCCGAUAGAGUAUCAUCGGAUCGAUGUGGAUAAGUGCGAUCCGGUUUUCGACAAGGAGUGCCAAGGUAACAAGUACAUUCCCUUCCGUCGGGCGGAUUACGAUCGGCAAACUGGACGGAGCCCUAACAGCCCUCGGGAACAGAUAAACAAAGUGACGAGCUGGAUCGACGGUAGCUUCAUUUAUUCGAGCAGCGAAGCAUGGGCGAACACUAUGAGAUCCUUCAAGAAUGGCAGCCUCCUCAUGGAACCCACGAGGAAAUUUCCUGUGAGAAACACCAUGCGUGCUCCACUUUUUAAUCAUGCUGUGCCGCACGUGAUGAGAAUGCUCAGCCCUGAACGUCUUUACCUUCUUGGAGAUCCACGAACAAAUCAACACCCACCGUUACUCGCAUUGGGAAUAUUGUUUUACCGAUGGCACAACGUUCUUGCAGCUCAUAUACAACAAGAAAAUCCAAACAUGUCUGACGAAGACAUCUUUCAGAAAGCUCGACGAUUGGUUAUAGGCACUCUUCAGAACAUUAUUUUGUACGAGUACAUUCCUGUACUUCUGAACGAAGAUGUUCCUCCUUACACUGGCUACAAGUCGGACCUACACCCAGGAAUCAGUCACAUAUUCCAAAGCGCCGCUUUCCGAUACGGACACACUCUGAUACCGCCUGGUAUAUAUCGUCGCGAUGAAAAUUGUGAAUACAGGAGAACCAAUACCGAUCAAGCAGCGAUACGACUGUGUUCCACCUGGUGGGACUCGAAUGAAGUGCUAACCAACAGCACGAUCGAGGAGCUAAUCAUGGGUAUGAGUUCCCAGUUAUGCGAGAAAGAAGACAACCUCCUCGGCACCGACAUCAGGAACAACCUCUACGGGCCCAUGGAAUUCUCCCGCAGAGAUCUAGGCGCCCUCAACAUCAUGCGAGGAAGAGACAACGGUCUCCCAGACUACAACACUGCCAGAGCACACUUCAAGUUACCUCGCAGAAAAACGUGGAACGAAAUCAACCCAGAAUUGUUCAACAAGAACCCGUCACUCUUGCGGACAUUAGUAGAGAUACACUCGAAUAAUUUGAAUAACGUGGACGUAUAUGUUGGGGGUAUGUUAGAGUCUAGUGCUGGUCCAGGUGAACUGUUCUCGGCGGUGAUUAAAGAGCAGUUCCUUCGUUUGAGAGACUCGGAUAGGUUUUGGUUCGAGAACACGGAGACUGGAAUUUUCACGAAAAGCGAAAUCGAGGAGAUUCGUCGCGUUACCUUGUGGGACGUAAUAGUCAACGCGACUGGGAUACCACCGGAUGCUAUCCAGAGAAAUGUGUUCACCUGGGAAGAGGGAGAUCCGUGCCCUCAACCGUACCAGUUGAAUUCUACCAUGUUAGAAUCAUGCAUUCCACUACAACGUUAUGAUUAUUUCGAGGGAAGCGAGCUGGUGUACAUAUACGCCUGCAUCUUUCUGGGUUUCGUGCCCAUCCUGUGUGCCGGUGCCGGCUACGGAUUAGUCAAGCUACAAAACCGACGAAGAAGACGCCUGAAGAUCCUUCAAGAGGCGAUACAAAAGCGCAGCGAUGGCAAGAUCUGCGUGGAUAAGAUGGUCGUACGAGAAUGGCUGCACGCGAACCAUCGUCGGUUGGUCAAGGUGAAAUUCGGCCCGGAAGCCGCUCUGCACAUCGUCGAUCGUAAAGGGGAGAAACUACGCACGUUCGAUUUCAACGAUGUGAACACCGUUGCCAUGGAGGAGUCUCAGGAGAACGAGAAUGGGCAUCGAAAGGCGUUGGUACUGUUACGAAUACCUCGAGACUACGACCUUGUCCUUGAACUGGAUUCCCUGGCUUCACGUAGAAAGUUUAUUGCGAAAUUGGAAGCAUUUCUGGCAUCCCAUAAGAAGCAUUUCACAAUGUCCCAAGUGGGGCGAGACAUUAUGCUAGCAAAGGCGGAAACGAAGGAGCGACGCCAGAAGAAACUCGAGCAGUUCUUUAGGGAAGCUUAUGCUUUGACGUUCGGUCUACGACCUGGUGAAAGGCGACGACGAUCAGAAGAUAGCGACAGCGGUGAAGUGGUCACCGUGAUGAGAACCUCGCUUUCUAAAAGCGAGUUCGCCAGUGCACUCGGCAUGCGGGCAGAUGCGGUUUUCGUGAAAAAAAUGUUCAACAUCGUCGACAAAGAUCGGGAUGGACGUAUUUCGUUUCAGGAAUUCUUAGACACCGUUCUGCUGUUCUCUCGAGGGAAGACCGAGGAUAAACUCAGAAUAAUAUUCGACAUGUGUGACAAGGACAGCAACGGAGUGAUUGACAAAGAAGAAUUAUCAGAGAUGCUUAGAUCUUUAGUGGAAAUCGCGCGAACGACCAGUCUGUCCGACGAUCACGUCACGGAGUUGAUCGACGGAAUGUUCCAAGAUGCUGGCCUAGAAAGGAAAGACUACUUGACCUACAACGACUUCAAGUUGAUGAUGAAAGAAUACAAAGGCGAUUUCGUGGCGAUCGGUCUCGAUUGCAAAGGUGCGAAGCAAAAUUUCCUCGACACGUCGACGAAUGUGGCUCGCAUGACGGGUUUCCAUAUCGAUACACUUCCUCCUGAGGACUCGAAGAGUUGGGCACGCAAGCAGUGGGACGCUGUGUCCACAUUCCUCGAGGAAAAUCGACAGAAUAUAUUUUACCUGUUCGUGUUUUACGUCACCACUAUUGCUCUCUUCGUUGAGAGAUUUAUCUAUUAUUCAUUUAUGGCCGAACACACGGAUCUGAGACACAUAAUGGGAGUUGGAAUUGCCAUAACCAGAGGAUCUGCAGCUGCCCUGUCUUUUUGCUACAGUCUACUCCUUUUAACGAUGUCUCGUAAUCUGUUAACCAAACUCAAAGAAUUCUCCAUUCAACAGUAUAUUCCUUUGGACUCUCACAUACAGUUCCAUAAAAUUGCCGCGUGCACCGCGCUGUUCUUUUCCGUUUUACAUACAGUGGGUCACAUGGUCAAUUUUUAUCACAUUUCAACGCAACCACUUGCUCAUCUUCGAUGUUUGACUAGCGAGAUCAGCUUUCCCAGCGAUGCUCGUUUGACGAUCUCAUUUUGGCUUUUUAGGACUGUGACAGGUUUAACUGGAAUCCUUCUGUUCGUCGUGAUGACGAUAAUCUUCGUCUUCGCUCACCCUACUAUCCGUCAAAAAGCAUACAAAUUUUUCUGGUCGACUCACAGUUUGUACGUCGUGUUGUAUGCGUUGUGUCUGAUUCACGGAUUAGCUCGUUUAACGGGUUCACCGAGGUUCUGGAUAUUCUUUGUUGGCCCCGCCAUCAUUUACUCCCUUGACAAGGUGGUGAGUCUUCGAACCAAGUACAUGGCGUUAGACAUCAUCGAAACAGAGCUGUUACCAUCAGACGUCAUCAAAAUCAAAUUCUACAGACCUCCCAAUUUAAAGUAUCUAUCCGGACAGUGGGUGCGUAUCUCGUGUACCGCCUUCAGGUCCAACGAGUUCCAUUCGUUCACCCUAACCUCGGCACCACACGAGAACUUCCUGUCGUGUCACAUCAAAGCGCAAGGACCAUGGACCUGGAAACUGCGCAAUUACUUUGAUCCUUGCAACUAUAACCCAGAAGACGAGCACCCGAAAAUUAGAAUAGAAGGACCAUUCGGAGGAGGCAAUCAAGACUGGUACAAGUUUGAAGUUGCCGUUAUGGUCGGCGGUGGCAUUGGAGUCACUCCUUAUGCGUCCAUGCUCAACGACCUCGUUUUUGGAACUUCAACCAACAGAUAUUCAGGGGUUGCUUGUAAAAAGGUUUAUUUCUUGUGGAUUUGUCCCUCACACAAACAUUUCGAGUGGUUCAUCGACGUACUCAGGGACGUGGAGAGGAAGGAUGUUACGGACGUUUUAGAAAUUCAUAUAUUUAUCACGCAAUUCUUUCACAAGUUUGACUUACGUACUACUAUGUUGUACAUCUGCGAGAAUCAUUUCCAGAGGCUAUCCAAGAAAAGCAUUUUCACUGGGCUGAAAGCCAUCAAUCACUUUGGUCGACCCGACAUGACUUCCUUCUUAAAGUUUGUUCAGAAGAAACAUAGCUACGUCAGUAAAAUAGGAGUAUUUAGCUGCGGACCACGCCCACUAACGAAGAGCGUGAUGUCAUCUUGCGACGAAGUGAACAAGGGUCGUCGUUUGCCGUAUUUCAUUCAUCAUUUCGAAAACUUUGGCUAGUCUGAUCGACGGAGAAGAAGAACGAUGGACUCUAUCAUGAAUCUCAUGGAAUUCUGUCGAGUGUAACCUCCGCCUGAUGUUC
rnacentral:misc_RNA from 1 species